GUGCCAGUGCGCCGCGCCGUUGGCCGCGGGAGAUUCUGUAAAGACGAAAGUAACGGCGGCCAACAAUUCGGGGUUCGGUCUUUGCUGUUCCGACCUAGUUCUGUCGGCGGCAUUCAAUGGAUGUGGUCACGGUGAGAGAAUAUGCAGAUGUGUCUAGAUGGAAGCUCGAGGACCUGUCAGGUUGGUUGACAAAGCAAAACCUUGCAGGCUUCGCCCAGGGAUUCGAAGCAUGAGCGGAUACGAGUGUUCAAAGUGUUCACGGUGCUACCACAUUGGGAGUCAUCUGAUAAAUCAUGUCCAGAUAGCUCAUGGUGACCCGGACUUUAAUUAUAUUUGCACGUUUGAAGAGGUUGAUGGAGAGACGUUACUAAACUUGCCAGUGAGGACGAUUGAGCAGUUUCUCUCUGCUAUGAAACUACGAGUCAAACUCCUAAAACUGACUGAACAGCUAAAAGGAGAUAUAAG